GCAACCCUCUGCCAUCCUCUUCUUCAAUGUGGAAGGUUUGUUCUUUUGUUCUUUGUGAUAAAUCUUGCUGUUGCUCACUCUUUGGGUCCACACUGAGUUUAUGAGCUGUAACACUUAUGAGCCAGCGAGACCACGAACCCACCAGAAGGAAGAAACUGCGAACACAUUGGAACAUCAGAAGGAACAAACUCUGGACAUCCUGCUUUUAGGAACUGUAACACUCACUGCGAGAGUCUGCGGCUUCAUUCUUUUAGUCAGUGAGACCAAGAACCCACCAAUUCCGGACAGGGCAUCUACCUAGAAGUCAGCAGCUCAGUGGAGUCUUUCCUGGUAACCCGACCUAAAAUCCCCAAACUGCCAAGAAUUGGUGUACAAAUAUCACGGACAGUGGGAAAAACAAUGAAUGCUGCCUGCUUAAGUCACAAGGGUCUCACUCUGUCAACCAGGCUGGAGUGCAGUGGUGCGAUUGUUCCUCUCACUUUAACCUCCACCUCCUGGAUUCAAGCAAUUCUCCUGCCUCAACCCUCCAAGUAACUGGGAUUACAAUAUGUUAUGAAAUACAAAAGGAGGAAAAAAAAUAAAAGAUGAAAAGAUAAUAACAGUGAUCACUGUUGAAUCUAGGGAUUGUGUGCAUAAUAGUUC
rnacentral:lncRNA from 1 species